AAGGACCGAACCGGUUGAACCGGAGUCCAAACCGGACCCGUGGGUUCAACCGGACCCAUAAUAUAAAAGAAGCAUCAGCUUCUUCUUCCUCACUUCAUACACCACGCAGCAAACAGAAAGGGGAAGAGGAGGAGAUCCCUAACCCUCAUCCAAUCUUCAAACCACCGUAUCUUCCUCGUUCGAGCUCCAAUCGCCGCACUGUUCGCGGCCACGCGUCCAGCGCGUCGAGCUCUACCUUUCUAUCGGAUCAAUUUCACUGGUAAGCUUCACUUUUGAGUCAAAAUCUCUACCCUCUUUCUUUGGUGAAAUUGAAAACCUAUAGUGAAUCUUGUCUAAUUUUUGUGUUCUAGGUUCAAGUUAGCUUCUGGGAUUUGUGGGCUCAAGCUAUUGAGCAUAUGGGUAUGGUGUAGGUUAAGUGGUUGUUUAUGCAUUGGAAUUGAAUUGGGAUUACUUGGAGGUUUGUUGGUGACCAAGGCUUGUUUUGGGGCUGUUUGAUUGAGCUUGGAGGGUCUGUAAUUUUGAGUUGUGAGGCUGCCUUGGGAGAACUAAGUGAUCGGCCAAGGUAUGGUUUAAGUUUCGCACGUUUAAUAUUUACGGUGUUGUGAAAACUUAGGUUAGAGGAACCAUAGGAUAAGUUGAAUUAUUUGUUGUAUUUAAUGAUUAGCCUUGUAAUGUUGUUGGAAUAGAUUUGUUGGUGGAUAUAUAUUGGAAUUAUGAGGUAUGGAAGUUAUUAAUGGUAUGCUCUUGUACUUAUUUAUGAUGGAUUAUGGUUGGUGUUUGUUAAUAAGGAUGUAGAGUUGUGUUGUGGUGGUAUUGCAUAUGUUGUAACUAAUUAUGUGAUGAUCAAAAUUGCGUAAAACUUAGUCUUUGUUAAACCUCGAAAUGUUUGGAACUGAACUGGAGAAUUUGGGAUCUUUUUGUUAAAUAUAUGAUUUAUGGUGAAUUUUCAAAUUGUAGUCGUGGAAUCUGAUUUUUACUGCAUAAUUCUUAGAACAGCAGUAACUUGUUGGCUCUGCUGCGAAGAUUCUAAAAUGAAUUUUGAAAUGAAACCAAUUUUAAAUAAAGAUUUAGUCCUAUUAUUUUAAUAUCACAAAAUUUUAGAAUGGUUGGACUUGUGAUUUUAAAGAUAUGAAUUUUUGAAAUACGAAGCGUUAUACAAUAAAAGUCAGAUUCUGUUUUCUUAGAUCAGCAAAUUUGAGAGUUUAUAAUUUCUGAUUAUGGAUGGAUAUUCAGAUGCAACCAAUUGGAGGUGAAAAUUAAUUAUUUUUAUCAGUUGUGAUUUAAUUUUCAGGGCUGUCCAUAUUUUAAUGAGUGAGUUAUGGGACUUGGAAGAGGACAUGUUCAUUAGUUUUUAAAACAGAAUUCUGCAGAUAGUUACUCAACUUCCAAGUUACAUAACUCACUCAUUAAAACAUGGACAGCCCUAAAAUUUAAAUCACAACUGCUAAGCAUAAUUAAUUUUCACCUCCAAUUGGUUGCAUCUGAAAAUCCAUCCAUAAUCAGAAGUUAUAAACUCUCAAAGUUGCUGAUCUAAGAAAACAGAAUCUGGCUUUUAUUGUAUAACACUUCGUAUUUCAAAAAUUCAUAUCUUUAAAAUCACAAGUCCAACCAUUCUGAAAUUUUACAAUAUUAAAAUAAUAGGACUAAAGCUUUAUUUAAAAUUGGUUUCAUUUCAAAAUUCAUUUUGGAAUCUUCGCAGCAGAGCCAACAAGUUACUGCUGUUCUAAGAAUUAUGCAGUAAAAAUCAGAUUCCACGACAACAAUUUGAAAAUUCACCAUAAAUCAUAUAUUUAACGAAAAGAUCCCAAAUUCUCCAGUUCAGUUCCAAACAUUCCAAGAUUUAAAAAGACUAAGUUUCACACAAUUCCAAUCAUCACAGAAUUAGUUACAGCAUAUGCAAUACCACCACAACACAACUCUACAUCCUUAUUAACAAACACCAACCAUAAUCCAUCAUAAAUAA